rnacentral:rRNA from 1 species
CGAAGGGGGCUAGCGUUGUUCGGAAUCACUGGGCGUAAAGCGCACGUAGGCGGAUUGUUAAGUCGGGGGUGAAAUCCUGAGGCUCAACCUCAGAACUGCCUCCGAUACUGGCAAUCUCGAGUUCGGAAGAGGUUGGUGGAACAGCUAGUGUAGAGGUGAAAUUCGUAGAUAUUAGCUAGAACACCAGUGGCGAAGGCGGCCAACUGGUCCGACACUGACGCUGAGGUGCGAAAGCGUGGGGGAGCAAACAGGAUUAGAUACCCUGGUAGUCCACGCCGUAAAUGAUGGAUGCUAGCCGUCGGGGAGCUUGCUCUUCGGCGGCGCAGUUAACACUUUAAGCAUCCCGCCUGGGGAGUACGGUCGCAAGAUUA